UGAGAUUAGUUUGCAAGGGCCAGUGCUG
rnacentral:sRNA from 1 species